rnacentral:rRNA from 1 species
UACGAAGGGGGGCUAGCGUUGCUCGGAAUCACUGGGCGUAAAGCGCACGUAGGCGGAUUGCUAAGUCAGGGGUGAAAUCCUGGAGCUCAACUCCAGAACUGCCUUUGAUACUGGCGAUCUCGAGUCCGGGAGAGGUGAGUGGAACUGCGAGUGUAGAGGUGAAAUUCGUAGAUAUUCGCAAGAACACCAGUGGCGAAGGCGGCUCACUGGUCCGGUACUGACGCUGAGGUGCGAAAGCGUGGGGAGCAAACAGG